AGCUGAUUUAAUGAUGACCUCCCACGCUGAGAACAGAUCUUUCUCACUCAGUGCAGUGAUUCAAAUGCCAGCCUUUUCCAUAAACACCAUCACAGACACAUUCAGAAAUAACGAUUAUCCAGUUAUCUGAGUAUCCCUUAAUGGACUCAGGACAAGAGUUCCUAUAUACUGAUGCUAGAGAGUAGUGGACACUACAAGUUUAGGUGCAAUCGUUCAGUAUUUCAAAAUUCAGUGCCUGGGACAUUUAGGACUUAAAUACCAUGGAAGAGAAGAGCUGAUUACAUCCUCAGGAUGGUGAUUAUGAAAAAGCAAAAGCAAAGCAGCAUUGGUGAGGACGUAUUACAAAGGGAACUCCUGCACGACACUGAUAUGUAUGUAAAUUAUCCAAGUUAUUAUGGAAAAGAGUAUGGAAGGUUUUCGCAAA